GGGUUGUGAGGUUAAGCGACCAAGCGUACACGGUGGAUGCCCUGGCAGUCAGAGGCGAUGAAGGACGUGCUAAUCUGCGAUAAGCGCCGGUAAGGUGAUAUGAACCGUUAUAACCGGCGAUUUCCGAAUGGGGAAACCCAGUGUGAUUCGUCACACUAUCAUUAACUGAAUCCAUAGGUUAAUGAGGCGAACCGGGGGAACUGAAACAUCUAAGUACCCCGAGGAAAAGAAAUCAACCGAGAUUCCCCCAGUAGCGGCGAGCGAACGGGGAGGAGCCCAGAGCCUGAAUCAGCAUGUGUGUUAGUGGAAGCGUCUGGAAAGGCGCGCGAUACAGGGUGACAGCCCCGUACACAAAAGCGCAUAUGCUGUGAGCUCGAUGAGUAGGGCGGGACACGUGGUAUCCUGUCUGAAUAUGGGGGGACCAUCCUCCAAGGCUAAAUACUCCUGACUGACCGAUAGUGAACCAGUACCGUGAGGGAAAGGCGAAAAGAACCCCGGCGAGGGGAGUGAAACAGAACCUGAAACCGUGUACGUACAAGCAGUGGGAGCACAGGUUUACCUGUGUGACUGCGUACCUUUUGUAUAAUGGGUCAGCGACUUAUAUUCUGUAGCAAGGUUAACCGUAUAGGGGAGCCGAAGGGAAACCGAGUCUUAACUGGGCGUUAAGUUGCAGGGUAUAGACCCGAAACCCGGUGAUCUAGCCAUGGGCAGGUUGAAGGUUGGGUAACACUAACUGGAGGACCGAACCGACUAAUGUUGAAAAAUUAGCGGAUGACCUGUGGCUGGGGGUGAAAGGCCAAUCAAACCGGGAGAUAGCUGGUUCUCCCCGAAAGCUAUUUAGGUAGCGCCUCGUGAACUCAUCUCCGGGGGUAGAGCACUGUUUCGGCUAGGGGGCCAUCCCGGCUUACCAACCCGAUGCAAACUGCGAAUACCGGAGAAUGUUAUCACGGGAGACACACGGCGGGUGCUAACGUCCGUCGUGAAGAGGGAAACAACCCAGACCGCCAGCUAAGGUCCCAAAGUCAUGGUUAAGUGGGAAACGAUGUGGGAAGGCCCAGACAGCCAGGAUGUUGGCUUAGAAGCAGCCAUCAUUUAAAGAAAGCGUAAUAGCUCACUGGUCGAGUCGGCCUGCGCGGAAGAUGUAACGGGGCUAAACCAUGCACCGAAGCUGCGGCAGCGAACGUAUCACUUAAAACGAUUCAGAAGCUUACGAUUGACGGAGCGAAGCGACGUCAAAGCGUAUACAAAGUCGAGUCGGUUUAAGGAUACGUUCGUUGGGUAGGGGAGCGUUCUGUAAGCCUGCGAAGGUGGCCUGUGAGGGUUGCUGGAGGUAUCAGAAGUGCGAAUGCUGACAUAAGUAACGAUAAAGCGGGUGAAAAGCCCGCUCGCCGGAAGACCAAGGGUUCCUGUCCAACGUUAAUCGGGGCAGGGUGAGUCGACCCCUAAGGCGAGGCCGAAAGGCGUAGUCGAUGGGAAACGGGUUAAUAUUCCCGUACUUGGUGUUACUGCGAAGGGGGGACGGAGAAGGCUAUGUUGGCCGGGCGACGGUUGUCCCGGUUUAAGCGUGUAGGCUGACUUUCCAGGCAAAUCCGGAGAGUCAAGGCUGAGGCGUGACGACGAGGCACCACGGUGCUGAAGCAACAAAUGCCCUGCUUCCAGGAAAAGCCUCUAAGCAUCAGGUAACAUCAAAUCGUACCCCAAACCGACACAGGUGGUCAGGUAGAGAAUACCAAGGCGCUUGAGAGAACUCGGGUGAAGGAACUAGGCAAAAUGGUGCCGUAACUUCGGGAGAAGGCACGCUGACACGUAGGUGAAGUGAUUUACUCAUGGAGCUGAAGUCAGUCGAAGAUACCAGCUGGCUGCAACUGUUUAUUAAAAACACAGCACUGUGCAAACACGAAAGUGGACGUAUACGGUGUGACGCCUGCCCGGUGCCGGAAGGUUAAUUGAUGGGGUCAGCGCAAGCGAAGCUCCUGAUCGAAGCCCCGGUAAACGGCGGCCGUAACUAUAACGGUCCUAAGGUAGCGAAAUUCCUUGUCGGGUAAGUUCCGACCUGCACGAAUGGCGUAAUGAUGGCCAGGCUGUCUCCACCCGAGACUCAGUGAAAUUGAACUCGCUGUGAAGAUGCAGUGUACCCGCGGCAAGACGGAAAGACCCCGUGAACCUUUACUAUAGCUUGACACUGAACAUUGAGCCUUGAUGUGUAGGAUAGGUGGGAGGCUUUGAAGCGUGGACGCCAGUCUGCGUGGAGCCGGCCUUGAAAUACCACCCUUUAAUGUUUGAUGUUCUAACGUGGACCCGUGAUCCGGGUUGCGGACAGUGUCUGGUGGGUAGUUUGACUGGGGCGGUCUCCUCCUAAAGAGUAACGGAGGAGCACGAAGGUUGGCUAAUCCUGGUCGGACAUCAGGAGGUUAGUGCAAUGGCAUAAGCCAGCUUGACUGCGAGCGUGACGGCGCGAGCAGGUGCGAAAGCAGGUCAUAGUGAUCCGGUGGUUCUGAAUGGAAGGGCCAUCGCUCAACGGAUAAAAGGUACUCCGGGGAUAACAGGCUGAUACCGCCCAAGAGUUCAUAUCGACGGCGGUGUUUGGCACCUCGAUGUCGGCUCAUCACAUCCUGGGGCUGAAGUAGGUCCCAAGGGUAUGGCUGUUCGCCAUUUAAAGUGGUACGCGAGCUGGGUUUAGAACGUCGUGAGACAGUUCGGUCCCUAUCUGCCGUGGGGCGCUGGAGAACUGAGGGGGGCUGCUCCUAGUACGAGAGGACCGGAGUGGACGCAUCACUGGUGUUCGGGUUGUCAUGCCAAUGGCAUGCCCGGUAGCUAAAUGCGGAAGAGAUAAGUGCUGAAAGCAUCUAAGCACGAAACUUGCCCCGAGAUGAGUUCUCCCUGAGACUUAGAGUCUCCUGAAGGAACGUUGAAGACGACGACGUUGAUAGGCCGGGUGUGUAAGCGCAGCGAUGCGUUGAGCUAACCGGUACUAAUGAACCGUGAGGCUUAACCUUACAACGCCGAAGCUGUU
rnacentral:rRNA from 1 species